UUAAUUUUGUUUUGCCUUGCGGCGUAUUCAGAACAUGCUGGUAAUACAAGAGUUUGAGGGUCCCCGGCGGCCGCUGGUCCAGUCCGCGUCCGGCUGGGGCGAGUCCGCCGAAGCAACAAUAGGUAGGUUCACAUAAGGGUUAGGGAGUUGAAAACUCGGUAAUGAUCCCUCCGCUGGUUCACCAACGGAGA
rnacentral:misc_RNA from 1 species